rnacentral:tRNA from 1 species
GCGCCUAUAGCUCAGUGGAUAGAGCAACUGCCUUCUAAGCAGUAGGUCGCAGGUUCGAAUCCUGCUGGGCGCA